rfam:Myotis davidii contig98369, whole genome shotgun sequence.
GAUGGUUCUCAGGUGAUGCACUCUGGAAUCGGGCUCCCUCCUCUUUGGCUCUGGGUGUAUCACCUGAGAACCACA